GACGAACGCUGGCGGCGUGCCUAAUACAUGCAAGUCGAACGCUGAAGAGAGGAGCUUGCUCUUCUUGGAUGAGUUGCGAACGGGUGAGUAACGCGUAGGUAACCUGCCUUUUAGCGGGGGAUAACUAUUGGAAACGAUAGCUAAUACCGCAUAACAAUGGAUGACACAUGUCAUUUAUUUGAAAGGGGCAAUUGCUCCACUACAAGGUGGACCUGCGUUGUAUUAGCUUGUAGGUGAGGUAAUGGCUCACCUAGGCGACGAAACCGUACCGACCCGAGAGGGGGAUCGGCCACACUGGGACUGGGACACGGCCCAGACCCCUACGGGGGGCAGCAGGAGGGGAACUUCGGCAAAGGGGGGAACGCCGACCGGGCAACGCCGGGGGGGGGAAGAAGGGUUUCGGAUCGUAAAGAUCCGUUGUAAGGGAAGAAAGGGUGUGAGAGUGGAAAGUUCACACUGUGACGGUAGCUAACCAGAAAGGGACGGCUAACUACGUG
rnacentral:rRNA from 1 species